UGUGUGUAUGUGUGAGUGAAAGCAUGAGCAGCAGAAGAAGCAGACUGGCAGGAGAGAGGAGGAAGGAAGGAAGGAAGGAAGGAAGGAAGGAAGGAAGGAAGGAAGGAAGCAAGCAAGCAAGCUACAGAAGAUGAAGGAGCUGCAGAACAAAGCAACAGAAUGAAAAUAUAUUGUCUGGUGAAGUAAGAGAAGUCUGCAUGGCUAUUUCCUCAUGGUUUCUCUAUGCCUAUGAUGUGCUGUGAAGUUGAUUCCAACUUACAGCAACGCUCGUAGAGUUUCCAAGCACCAGAGCUCCUCCAGACAUAGGAGACUACAGCUUCCAGCAUCUCCCUUGACCGAUGUGGCUGGGGAUGAUGGGAGAAGUUGUAAUGUAACACACCCAGAGGUCAUCAAGUGCAGUGAAGGGGCUUGAACAAUAGCAGACCAUGAGUAUAAAUUAACAUCUGGAGGUUCCAGCCUACCUGCAAUGUGAGUCACCUCCAACUGUUGGAGGAGAAUGUGAACAAAGGAGAUGAAUAAAAAGUCUGAGCUGUGCCUGGCAGAGACAGCAUCUGGGAGGAUUUGUUGAGAGCACUGCUGGCAUUGCCUUGAGAUUAUCACUAUCUCUCUAUACAUUUUAAGAAAAAUCAAGAAAAGCCGCAUAGUCAUAUAAACAAUGCAGAUACAGGAACAGUUGACUUAUGCAUUUUUUUCCAGAGCUUGUUCAGCUGAUAUAGUUGCAAGGAGGUCAAAGAUAUUAUAAGUAAGAGCAUUUUAUUGCACUUGUUAUGCACAAAAUAGUUCUUUAAGAUAUUCUCUAUGUUGCUUUUGCUAAAACAAAUAUUUACAAUUUAGCUAUUCUAUUCUACUUUAUACAUAGUGUUUCAAGCUCCUGCCUGAAUAUUACUUUUCACUCGUUGACAUUUCACUUUAACGGAAAGCCCUGUGUAAGCAAUGAGUUGGCUCUUAUUUAGAGUCAUUUCAUUGAAAUCAGUGGAUAUGUUUAAGGAAGAUUUAUACAUGUAUUUCCCAUAUAUUUUAAGCUUAUGAUUAUUAAUUACUUUUUAUUGGGUUAUCUUGUUCUUGUUGUUGCUCCUAUUUCACCUGGCCCCUUUAUUAAGAAAAAUCAGCCAUGUUCUCCUGAAAGGCCAGCAAUUACUACCAUUAAAAAAGGAUCUAACUGACUAAACACUUCUUCCUGCUUCCUGUGGAUAAGAGGAUUAAUCUCAUUAGAAAAAGGGGGAAAGAUGUUUAUAUCUGCUUUUGCACAUAUUGGUCUUAAUAAGAAUGGAAUUGUUUCUGGUCAGAUCAUUAUUUAGGGUUUUGUUCAGUGCUGAUCCAUAACACUGAAGGGUGCAGGAACCGAAUAUGUGCAGUGGUUCUUAACCUUGGGUUACUCAGGUGUUUUUGGACUGCAACUCCC